rnacentral:piRNA from 1 species
UUUGUAGGAAAUUAUAACAUU